UUAGAGUUUGAUUCCNGCUCAGGAUGAANCGCUGGCGGCGUGCCUAAUACAUGCAAGUCGAACGCACAGCGAAAGGUGCUUGCACCUUUCMAGUGAGUGGCGAACGGGUGAGUAACACGUGGACAACCUGCCUCAAGGCUGGGGAUAACAUUUGGAAACAGAUGCUAAUACCGAAUAAAACUUAGUGUCGCAUGACACAAAGUUAAAAGGCGCUUCGGCGUCACCUAGAGAUGGAUCCGCGGUGCAUUAGUUAGUUGGUGGGGUAAAGGCCUACCAAGACAAUGAUGCAUAGCCGAGUUGAGAGACUGAUCGGCCACAUUGGGACUGAGACACGGCCCAAACUCCUACGGGAGGCUGCAGUAGGGAAUCUUCCACAAUGGGCGAAAGCCUGAUGGAGCAACGCCGCGUGUGUGAUGAAGGCUUUCGGGUCGUAAAGCACUGUUGUAUGGGAAGAACAGCUAGAAUAGGAAAUGAUUUUAGUUUGACGGUACCAUACCAGAAAGGGACGGCUAAAUACGUGCCAGCAGCCGCGGUAAUACGUAUGUCCCGAGCGUUAUCCGGAUUUAUUGGGCGUAAAGCGAGCGCAGACGGUUUAUUAAGUCUGAUGUGAAAGCCCGGAGCUCAACUCCGGAAUGGCAUUGGAAACUGGUUAACUUGAGUGCANAGUAGAGGUAAGUGGAACUCCUGGUGGUAGCGGUGAAUAA
rnacentral:rRNA from 1 species